CUUACACGACUUGCGAGCUACCCGCUUGCAAAGUUAGUUUCGAAAAAGAACGACUAGCAAGCGAGUCCAGGAGAAAGCUGGGUCGACACCAACUACUUGGAGCAAGAUGGCAUCUUUACCACCUCUGGAAUAACAGCUGAUCGUGGGGGAGUGUCACCUUUCAGUUUCACUAUAUAAUAUCACACCUGUGUGUUGGUGGGUGGGUGAUCACACAGCCUCCCUUGCAAUUAAUCUCUCACACACAAAGUGGGUAUAUGAAUAUCAAUCAGAUAAGCUCUGUAGCAGUACCCAAUAUACUACUACUAUUACUACAUCUAGAUUCUCUAUUUCACAUUUCCAUAUCAACUUUACUCCUAAAAGUGCAGGAGGCUGCUACCCAUCAUUGCCCCUGUGAAAUGCCAUAUGCUUCAAACAUUCUCCUCCACUUUGUGUUCAUUGGUUCAGAAAUGAUUGUCCCAUAACUACAGAGAUAUUUUCAAAGCAAGAAGAUGAGAUAACCAUCAGAUAUGUAUGCUCAUUCAUAAGAUGGUUGUGCCAAUGAGAUAAUUAUAAGAACAGGAAUUAAACAAGUUGCAAAUAUAUAAAUUCUUCAUUACCAAAACAGCCAAUGAAAUGUGUUAUUCAAAGUCUUGAACAUUUAUUAACCAGUGCAAUGAUGCUUCUCUGUUACUGAAGCUUUACUAUGCCGAUAACAGUUGUUCUACUGUCUACUGAUAGUUCUAGAUGGAAGGAGUGAACAGAUGCAACACAUACAUUGAUUGACAAUUUGACAGCAAGAUGCUAUUAAUUUGGACCAGCUACGAGGGAGAUUCCUGUAUCCACUGGUAAAAGGGUAUGUUUGCUUGACCCUUAAACAACACAAAGGAAACAGAUACCAAUUUAAGGAGGCAUUUUUUUUCAUUGGUAAAGGAAACAAGCUAGUCAAAGGAAUGCCCUGUAAAUAGGUUGCAAAGUUUGUACAUAUAUAACAAUCAUCAUGAACAAUGCAAAGAUCAUGGACCCAGUAACAGAAAGCUAACAUUAACACAGAAAACAAAGUCAAGAGUUGAAGGGAAUGAACAACCAGUUGAAAAACCUUUCUAGAUCUGCAUAAAGACUGCACCUUUCCUUUUCCCUCAUAGUCCAGCCUCUACCUCAGUAGCGUAUUCAUCGGAUUCAUAGGGAAGAUCUAUCUUCCUCUUCCUGAUUUUGAAAGUGCUGUGUCGGAUCACGUCAUCGUCGGUAUUCAUCGUUGUUUCGAGGGCGUUCAAGGAUUCUGGUUUUGUGAAGUAAGUGAAGAGGAGGUAGAUCCCAUCCAUAUAGGUGUUGGUUUCACCAGCUUUGUUCUUCUUCUUGAUGCUGUAGGAUAGUGGAAGCACUCCUCUGUUGAAUGCCUCCACAUACAUCCCACCCCCAGCUACAAGCAAC
rnacentral:lncRNA from 1 species